CCUCGGGCCGGGCAACGCCGGGCGGGGACCGGUCUCGCCCCGCCGCGCUCGGGCUCCCUCCCCGGCGGCCCCUCCUCGGCGAACAGCCUUUCGGCGCGGGGGGCUGUUAAACCAGACACCCCAGGCCACACUCCUCUCGUUCGAAAUGACCAUUUCGGGGUUCUCCGUGGCGGGGAGCUCCGCCGCCGCCGUCCCCCUUCCACGCGCGGGAGGUCGGCGAGGGCAGGGCGGGGACCCGGAGUGCGGCCCCCGGUCCUGCUUCGUGGCCCGAAACGCCUCGCAAUGGAGUCACUCAUGACAGGGGACUCAGCGCACGGGGCGGCUGCUGAGCCCCGCAGCGAUCGGCGGGCGUGAGGGGUUCCCCGGCGUGGUUGCCCGGGAGCCUGUCAGCCCCAGCAGCCCUGACAGGAAAGGGAAGUCGAGAGGAGGCUGAGCGAACGGCCGCCACCCCCGCGGGACGCUGACCCGGGCGGACCCCGAGGGGCCUCUCCCCGCGCCAGAGCGCGGCGUGCGCGGGGAAGCGCGACCCACCGGGGUCGGCGACGGCGCGCGGGGCGGGCGCGGCGGUUCCCUCUCCUCCGCCCGUGCCCGUGGGAUCGGCGGGCUUGUCGGGCUGGGAGAGCCUCGUGGAACCCGGGCAUCCGGGCAGCAGCGGCCUCCGAGCCACUGUGGAGGCGCCCGGGGUCGGCACGGCGAGGCCGACGGGGACCUGACACGGUCACGCGGCGCCGGGGAGCAGGUUCGAGUGGCCGGGCGUGGCCGUGCUGCCCCUCCGCGUUCCGCAGGCGGCGACGGGCGAGCGGCCCUAGCGGGCUGCAGGGAGGACGCCGCGUGGACGGAGAGCCGGCGCCCGGGGGCCAGAUCCCCUCCCGGGACGGGGCGCCAGGUCCCCGCGAGCUGCGGCGCGACGCGCGGGCACCCGUGUCCCACCCGGUGGCCUCGCCGCUGCGGGCUGCGCUGAGAGCGGGGUGGCGCGACGCGGUCCCUCACCGCAGGGGGAAGACGGCACCACCGCGUCCCGGCCGCUGGAGCUUCCCGCCCGCGCCGCCGGCCCGACGCUGCCCCCUGGCGGGAGAGCGCUGCAGGGGCCCCGGCGAGGCCGCAGGACCCGACCUCCCCGCCGGCCUCGCACUCCCGCGCCGCCGCCGAGGGUCGGCAGCCGGAUCGCCCUCCGUGCCCCAUAGCACCCCUCACACUAAAAACGACGACUUUAUUAAGAUGUGAGAUACAGGGUCUCUGUCGCCCAGGCUGGAGUGCGGUGGCACGAUCUCGGCUCACCGCAGCCUUGAACUUCUAGGCUCCAGCGAUCCUCCUGCCUCAGCCUCCCGAGCAGCUGGGACCACAGGCCCCGCCACCAUGCCCGGCUCAGUUCCAUGACUUCUGACACGCGAAACCACCAGAUGGAGUCUCAUUGUCUCCCUCUCCCUCGCCCUCGCCCUCGCCCUCGCCCUCGCCCUCUCCCUCUCCCCACGGUCUCCCUCUGAUGCCGAGCUGAAGCUGGACGGUACUGCUGCCUGAUUCUCCUGCCUCAGCCUGCCGAGUGCCUGCGAUUGCAGGUGCGCGCCGCCACGC
rnacentral:lncRNA from 1 species